rnacentral:rRNA from 1 species
CCUACGGGAGACUGCAGUGAGGAAUAUUGGUCAAUGGACGCAAGUCUGAACCAGCCAUGCCGCGUGCAGGAUGACGGCUCUAUGAGUUGUAAACUGCUUUUGUACGAGGGUAAACCCCGAUACGUGUAUCGGGUUGAAAGUAUCGUACGAAUAAGGAUCGGCUAACUCCGUGCCAGCAGCCGCGGUAAUACGGAGGAUCCGAGCGUUAUCCGGAUUUAUUGGGUUUAAAGGGUGCGUAGGCGGUUUGAUAAGUUAGAGGUGAAAUGUCGGGGCUCAACCCCGAAACUGCCUCUAAUACUGUUAGACUAGAGAAUAGUUGCGGUAGGCGGAAUGUAUGGUGUAGCGGUGAAAUGCUUAGAGAACAUACAGAACACCGAUUGCGAAGGCAGCUUACCAAACUAUAUCUGACGUUGAGGCACGAAAGCGUGGGUAGCAAACAGGAUUAGAUACCCCAGUAGUC